rnacentral:lncRNA from 10 species
GGAGAGCACGUCUUGGCAUUUGGGUGCCUGAGCUACAUAAAUGAUCAAAAUAGAGACACCUGCCUUCCUGGAGCUUUCAUCACAGUGAACACAGGCAGAGCUGCUACCACAAUGUAGGUGCCCUAACUAUUACUAGAGUGUGAAUGACUUUCCUUUCCAAGUGGCAGCAGCAGCAGUGUAGUUGGCUAAGUGCCAGACCACUUCAGUUGGGAUGCAUUCACCAGGUCUCUUUCCAAAGAUUCCAUGUCUCCUCCUUCUGAGCAAUGAAGUUGGGGUGAACAUGUGCCUUGCUUUGGCCAAUGCAACAUGAGCAGAAAUGACAGUUGUCCUGGGUGGAAACUUUAAGAGCUAGCACACGGCACACCAUGAUUCCUCCCCGGAGCUGCAGUACUCAGGGACACGUGGGACCAGAUAGGUGCCUGGGUGACUGAGAGCCACGGAGCCCCCGUGUG